rnacentral:lncRNA from 1 species
UAGCCCAUCCCUUAGUGAAGCUCAGUUCCUUUGUUUGAAUUCUUAUGCUUUAAGUAGAUAAGGGUUUCUAUGUACUGCCUGAAAACAUUUUGUACUUCAAAUAAUAAUAUGCCAUAUGAAAAUAAAAUAUUUUACCAAUAAAAUAAAAUAAAAAACAAGAAUCGAAUAUCAAAAAAUUUGAACAUAGAAGAAGUUUAAUCAAUUUGCUUGCAAAAACUCUUCAAGGUCUAUCUCUUUUCAUCUUCUUAAUUAAUUGUUACUCUUCCCAAUGGUCGCCUACCAAAGAAAACGACAUUUUGCCAAUCAAACUAGGUAUGUGUUUUCUUGGUUUUUUAUAUAUAUUCUUUUCUUUUGACAAAGAACUUGAGGUUGAACUGAUUUGACUAAGGACUUGGAGUUGAACUAAUUUGAUUCUUGUUUUUUAUUUUAUUUUAUUUUAUUUUAUUGGCAAGAAAGAUAAAAUAUUUUAUUUAUCAAAUAAUCUAAAAGAUUUUGAAUUCUUAUGCUUGUUGAUAAAGUUGGCGAUUUUGAGUGGUUAAUUCAGAAAUCUCCAUUAUCUUAGACUUGCAAAGUAGAACAGGACACUAACUGUUUUGGUCCCUUUUAAUAGAAACAGAACUCUCCAGGAUUUCUGCAUUAUUAUUUAGUGUGAACAUUACUAAUGUAUUUCCAUAUGACAGGUUCGUUCAACUUGAUGUGGGUCUUCUAAAGGUCAGAAAUAAAAUAAGUUGAGCAUAUUAGGUUUGUCACUUAAAGGGCUCUGCAGAUUGUUUUAGAUUGGCUUGAUUUUUUAUUCACUCAAUAUUUCUCUUUAUCUCUCCAUUUGAUCCUGUUCUAGUAUCAUUUAGUACUUGUUCUCAUAUGUUCAUUGAUAUUUAAGUUAUGUUCUUUCGUGUUCGAUUAUUUUAG